CAUACAUGCAUAACACUAUAUAGACACACAUAUAAAGAUAUAUUAUGUUUCUCUCUCAAAACCAAACAUGGAAGUAAAACCUAUCAUGAUAUGUUUUGGAUUAAUUUAUCUGGGAGUUCUGCUGCCAAAAUCCUUGUCAGAAGGAAAACAAGAUCAACCAACAGAAACUGCGAACAUGCUCUCAAGUGCCGAACCAAUGGAGCAAGAUGAUAAUGCUCUAAACUCGCAGUCUAAGACAAACGUGAUGCAAAAAACGGAAAGUUCACAGAUUACAGACAUAAACACAGAGUUUCUGUCAAAUAUGAUUGUACCGACAACUCUCAAUAAGGAUCCAUUGAUAGGAGAAACAAUGAAUGAGGAAGCUAUAAACAAAGAAAGAUCUUUCACAAAAGCAACAUCAUCAUUGGAAGAAAACAACAUAUAUAUUAAUGAUAUGUCUAUAACAAAAGAGAAUCAAGGUUUACUUUCUAGUGAGAACCAAAAUCAGUUCACAAACAAUUUCAGUUCAGUACAGCCUUCUACAACAAAAGCUGUCGAAAGAAGACCAUUUGCACUGCAUGUAACUAAUGCAACUGAAACAAGUAUAAGUGUGUCGUGGAACGUAACAGAAAAUAUUAAACAAUUUAUGGUCAGCAUAGAUUGCUGUAACCAGAAGUAUAAGGAUUUUAUAGUCAACACUACCAGUACAACGAUUACAAACCUCACAUGUAGUGGGUGCUGUUAUGAUAUAGCAGUAAAAAGUCUCUAUGGCAAUAAUAAAUCCAGUCAACCAAUAAGUACAACUAAUUAUACUGUACCCAGGAUGCCAAAAGUUGAAGUCAUAGAAAAACCAACUUCAGUUGUGAUUAAAAUUUUUCAAAUGGAUCAAGAUUGUGAGUCUUUGAAAAAUGACCAGAAGUGGGAAGUAACUCAGAGCAAAGAUUCAGAAAGUUGCGUGAUAGAAAAGGCGAAUUUAAAAAUACGUUUUAAUUACAAUUUAACAAUAUGGAGAGAAGUGGAUGUAUGGAAAAGUAAAAAAGAGUUAAUUACCAUCUAUCUUAAAGAACCUAAUGCAGUGAGUGGUUUAUCACACAUAGUUAACCAAGGUGAUAUACAUAUCUACUGGCAGAAACCAAAAAAUUCAAAAGUAAAUUCGUAUCAAAUCACUGUUACUAUUGAGAAUCCAUAUAUAUAUAAUUGCACAAAUACAACUACAAACAUGACUUAUUACAUAAUAAACGACUUUUUACCAGGUACCAAGUACACAGUUGAUGUAUUUGCUAUUAAUUAUAUUGGAACUAGUACCAAAAGUAGCCUAUCUUUUACAACUCCAUCUAAAGUUCCUGGUGUUGUAAACAUCACCAUCAGUGAAGCAACAGCUUUUAAUGUCACUAUUUCCUUAAGUCACCCAGAGACUUUUAUGGGAGACAUCCUUGGGUAUUUUAUUGAGAUUUACAAAGGUCAAAAGAUGCCAACUGAUAAAAAACCACUGAAAAUAUAUCACAUAAAAUGUUAUAACUGUUCACAGGCAAAUGCUUCCAGACCUGACAGCUGUCCUUGUUCCCAACCAUGUAAUAAUAUGCAAGAGAAAACUCUCCACAGCUUGGGAGAACACUUUUCUUUGAAUUCACUGACUCCAGCUACAUCUUACUUAAUAUCAGCCCAAGCUUAUACAUCUGCUGGUUGUGGUAAUAUAAGUGAGAAAAUCUUCAUGACAAAUGAAAGUACUCCAUCUAAAGUGCAAAAUCUUGUUAUUAAUAUAACUGAAACUGAGGCUUAUAUGGAAUGGCAAGAGCCCAAACAUCCUAAUGGAAAAAUACAGUAUUAUUUGCUCUAUCUCUACCAUAAUGAUUCGCUUAGUGUAUUAGGAAAUAGCACUGAAAAGAACUUUGUGUUUGAAAAUCUUGAACCAUAUCAAAAUUAUACAGUCAGUAUCGUUGCCAUGAAUUCCCUGCCAGGUGAAAAAUACACUCGAAAAUUCAAGACAAAGAUUGGUGCUCCAUCUAAAGUGCAAAAUCUUGUUAUUAAUAUAACUGAAACUGAGGCUUAUAUGGAAUGGCAAGAGCCCAAACAUCCUAAUGGAAAAAUACAGUAUUAUUUGCUCUAUCUCUACCAUAAUGAUUUGCUUAGUAUAUUAGGAAAUAGCACUGAAAAGAACUUUGUGUUUGAAAAUCUUGAACCAUAUCAACAUUAUACAGUCAGUAUCGUUGCCAUGAAUUCCCUGACAGGUGAAAAUUGCACUCGAAAAUUCAAGACAAAGAUUGGUGCACCAGAACCUGUAAACAUCACUCUUGUCAAUAGAACCAGUAAAUCAAUAACUAUAAAGUGGAAAUCCCUGCACCCCAAUGGACCAAUCAAAAAAUAUAUUGUCAGCUGGAAAACUGUAAAAGAAAGUACGCCAAGGUCUAUGAAUACAACUAAGAAAAAUACUUAUACCAUAACUGAUCUUGAACCCUGCAGAGAUUAUAAGAUCAAAGUAGAAAUCUGUAAUACCAAAUAUUGUAAAGACAGUAAAUUAUUUCGUGCACAAACAAAGAUUGGAGUCCCACACCCGGCACGAAAUGUUAAUGCUAAGGCAGAGUCUGCAACAAGCAUUCGUGUCUCUUGGGAGGAACCGAUGCAGUACACAGGACCAACUACAUAUAUCAUUCAGGGACAGUGUUUAAAGUCCUCAAGAAUACUGAAGACUUUUCUUGGGCCAUUCACUGUCUCAGGUUUCAAUAAUACCUCGUUUCUUGUAAAAGACUUAGCAGAAUACUGGCCAUACGUAUUUGAAAUUACAACAAGUACUGAAGCAGGAAAUGGUUCCACAGUAACCACUUCACGCACUCUGACAGAGGAAUCAACGCCUGGACCAGUCAAAAGUUUGGAUAUUUAUGUCAAUUAUUCCUGCUAUAUUGCAUUACUGGUUACGUGGAAGAAACCACUUCCUGAAGAUGAAAAUGGUAUUAUCACUAAAUAUGAAAUAACUUAUUGGGCUGAUAAUGAUGACAAAAAGAAAAUAUGUGUUAAUGCUACUCUGUUCUCAACCAUGAUGAUUGCAUUAGGAGAGCAUAGCUACACAAUACAGAUACGUGCAGAAACUUCAAAAGGAUUAGGUGACACAAGGAACAAAACCGUUUAUGUCAAACCUCAAAUUCCUGUGGUACCAGAUAAUGUGUUUGUUACAAGAUCAAAUGAAGAAGUUGAGGACAGUAGCAGGCAGAUUGCUAUAAACCUGCCCAGUAAGUUCUUUAGAGAUUUCACAUUUGGAAGACCAGUACAAUGGGGCUUGGUCAUUGCUCUGUCUGAAGCUGUUAACGAAAGUGAUCAGGAACAUUCACAACUUUAUCCAAGAGAGCUAAAAGAAUGGAAAGAGGUAUAUGAUAAAGAAACUGCAUAUUCUUACCGACCAACACCAACUGACUGGAAGCCACCUUCUAUUCUGAGUAACGACAUGAACACUAUUUACAUACUUGGCGCUGAAGAGGAUUGUGAAGAUACCAAAAUAUAUUGCAAUGGCUAUUUGAAACCCGACAGAUAUUACCGUGUCAAAGCUUUCAUGUGCACAAAGGGAGGAUGUUCAGCAACCAAGUAUUCAGCACGAAUGCAUACAGAUAAAGACCGUACAGCUAUCUACAUCACAGUUCCAGUCUUGCUAGUAGCUGCUACUGUAGCAAUGAAUAUAGUAUUUAUCAUGUGGCACAAGAAACUCUAUUGUUUCAAGAAAAAACAAAUACCCACAGUUUCAAGUCUUGUUGAUGCCAACCAAAAUGGAAAGGUUAAUCAUUCUUUCAUGAUGAAAAACUCUGAAUAUUCACGACCAAUUAUGUUGGCACAUUUCCACAGCAAAGUGGAAAUGAUGAAAAGAGACUCAAACUUACAGUUUUGUGAAGAAUUUAAGCUGCUAAAGAGUCUCUCCCCUGUGCAACCUCAUGUUGCUGCUGAAUUACAAGUAAACCGCACCAAGAACAGAUAUACCAAUAUCUUGGCAUAUGAUCAUUCUCGAGUCAAGCUGUUACCUAUGGAUGAUGAUGAAGGCUCUGAUUACAUAAAUGCAAAUUACAUACCUGGCUAUAGCCUACACCGAGAGUACAUUGCUUCCCAAGGACCCCUUCCCAGCACAAAGGAUGACUUCUGGCGGAUGAUUUGGGAACAGAAUGUAUCUAUUAUUGUCAUGGUUACAUUGCCUGUGGAACGUGGAAGAGUCAAAUGUGAGGUUUACUGGCCAAAGAAAUCUGAACCAGUUUACUUUGGUGAUCUUGUGGUGCAGCUGAAAUCAGAAUCCAAUCUUUCUGAUUAUGUCAUCAGAAUUAUGGAUGUGAAUAUGGGUGAAACUACAAAAGAAGUGAAACAGUUCCACUUCUUGAAGUGGCCAGAUUUCGGUUGUCCUCAGAAUACAUCAUUGCUGAUCAACUUUGUGCAAACAAUUCGCACACAUAUGCCUUAUACGGAUACUGGACCAACCCUGGUACACUGCAGUGCUGGAGUCGGACGUACAGGAACAUUCAUUGUCAUUGACAGACUGCUUCAACAUAUACAAUGCCAUCAUGAAGUAGAUAUCUUUGGCUUAAUAUUAGAACUGAGAAAGCACAGGCCAAAUAUGGUACAGACUGAGGACCAGUAUGUAUUUAUCUACCAAUGUAUAGCAGAUCAUUUGAAACAAAUGGAGAAAAUUGAAAAUGAAGGUAUUUAUAUGAACGAAACAGGAAUGUGAGAAAAUUAAAUUCAAAGAUUCACAUUUUACUACUGCUGAAAAGAAAUAAUUAACAUCACUGUGCCAGAUUUUUCAUUUGUAUACCAACUUUGAAAUUCGUUUUGCUGCACAAAGUCUGCAUGUGCAUAAAGUAUGUGUGUGUGUGCAUGUAUGAGAGAGAGUGUGUGUGUGUGUGUGUGUGUGUGUGUGUGUAUGCACAUGUAUUCAUGAAUACACA